rnacentral:rRNA from 1 species
UACGUAGGGGGCGAGCGUUGUCCGGAUUUAUUGGGCGUAAAGAGCUCGUAGGCGGUUUGGUAAGUUGGAUGUGAAAUCUCCAGGCUCAACUUGGAGGGGUCAUUCGAUACUGCCAUGACUAGAGUUCGGUAGGGGAGAGUGGAAUUCCUGGUGUAGCGGUGAAAUGCGCAGAUAUCAGGAAGAACACCCGUGGCGAAGGCGGCUCUCUGGGACGGUACUGACGCUGAGACGCGAAAGCGUGGGGAGCGAACAGG